rnacentral:tRNA from 2 species
UCAUUAAGAAGCUAUGCACCAGCUCGAG